GCGUGGUGACGUCAUAUCCGCGCUCCGGAAGCUCAAACCCGUCGCUGGUUAAACUUAAAGCCUCUUGUGUAUGUCGCUCAAGUCAGGGAGGGUCAACUCUCUUUUUUCAUCCAUCCCAAAAUAUACACGGUGACAUUUGUUUACACGCAGAUAAACUUGAUCGAAGAUCGUAUUUAAUCAGAAAUGGACUCUUCUGAGCACGGCUCUCCAGUGACAUCUCCAGGUGUAGCCAUUGGAGGGACUCUACCACCAGGCCUGACAGAGGAGGAAGCAGAAGAGAUACAGGUGGAACUCACCAAGGUUGACGAUGAGAUUCAGACACUGAGACAGGUUCUCAUGGCAAAGGAGAGGCACGCCGCUGAGCUCAAGCGCAGGCUUGGCAUCAGUCCCCUCUCUGAAAUUAAACAGAACAUCACCAAAGGCUGGCAUGACGUUCAGUGCUCCAAUGCUUAUAUGAGAACCUCACAAACUCUUGGAGACUUGAAUCGUAGAGUUACCUCAUCUAAUUUAUACCUUACGGCUUCAGCCACACUUGAGGACAUUGGACGUUCUGAUGCCUAUAAGAGGACUCAGGAGACUCUGUCUCAGGCAGGUCAGAUGACAUCAGCUGCGUUCUCCACAGUGGGCUCUGCCAUCAGAAACCGAUUUGGAGAGAUGAGGGCUCUGCCGUACUCUAACUCUGGGUAAGAGCUAUACGAGAGCCUGCACAGGUAGCAGCCAUCUUCCUUUUGAAGUCCCCUGUACCUGUGAAGAUUUCUGUAGAACAUUCUAUGGAACUCGCCAAGCUUUAAAACCUUCGAGGACAAAGUGGAGAAUAUGAAGUACAAAGUAAUGGGGCGAUCAAAUGGAGAGAGCGACAAUUCGCCAACCAGCAACAACGCACCUUUCUGAGCAGGAUGCACAACCUCAUGACCGAGAACUGACCUCUGUGAUCCCUCUUAAACGCUGUACCCAAAUACACUCCAGUUUCUCCACAGCUACAUUAACUUUCAAUGAAUGUACACACAGAAAAUAAUGCUUUAUGAAACUAAGUUGCCAACAAGCAAUUACUUGAACAUCUGAAGACUGCCACCUUUGCAAAUGCAUUGUAGUCAAAAUAAAACAUCUCAAAUUAGCAUAUUGAAAAACUGGAGAACCCUUUUUGAGACUGUUGGGUUUUCUUCUCUGCGCCAAAUUACCUUUAAAUGUAUUAUUUUAUUUUGUCAAACAACAGGGCUUCUCUGACACUUCAGUAGUAAAUGGUCUGUUACGAUCAGCAUGAAGAGGUUAAACUCACCUUUAGAAUGUCCUAAAACACUUAAGGCUUCCUCGGCCUGCUUUGUCACCGCUGUUUAUGAUUGUUACAUGCUUCCUACAUUGAAUAUUGCACUGGUUAUUACCCUGCUUGUUACUCAGGGCAAAAGGUGCUAAAGCUUUCCUUGUGACAAGACUUGAGCACCAGAUGUGUAUCAUCUGUCAUCUCUGAAGGUGUGUACUAAAUUAUUCACAUUUAUUUUCUUGUCUUGUCUGUUUUGAGUUUUUCCCAAGUUUUCAAAGUUGUAAUAAUAAUAAUAAAAAAACUACAACUGUUCUAAAAAAGACAUUAAGAGAUUCAAGCUACACAUAAUCUCUCCUGUUUCUUGGUUUCCUGUAUUUUAGAUUGUGGUGUGUCUUGAAUAGAAUUAGCCUUUUCCCCUUCUUUUUCAGAGUACAUUAUUGUAACCAUGAGUGUAAAGUCAUUUGGUGAGAAGAUGGGUUUUUAUAAAUGAUUUACUUACUAAACAGAUGGAAGGCUAAUAUUUUCAAGUAAGAUAAUUAAAUGUAAUGAUUGUAAUGUUUAAUCCAAAUCUUGUGGUGGGCAAAAGGUCGAUUUCACUGUGAGGUGAUGGAAAACACAUUUUUACUUAAUUUUUUUGAUGAUUUGUGUUCAUUCAGCUAGUGCUGAUGGAAGCACUAUCCAUGCGAUGAUCUGUAAAAGAAUGUUACCAUACUGACAUAACUACUGCAUAAAUGUUUGAUGCUUGGUGGCUGUAACGUACUACACUGUUCGGGGUUUAUUAAAGACAAUGAAGUAAACGAGAA